CCCAGACUCCUACGGGAGGCAGCAGUGGGGGAUAUUGCACAAUGGGGGGAACCCUGAUGCAGCGACGCCGCGUGGGUGAAGAAGUAUUUCGGUAUGUAAAGCCCUAUCGGCAGGGAAGAAAUUGGACGGUACCUGACUAAGAAGCCCUGGCUAACUACGUGCCAGCAGCCGCGGUAAUACGUAGGGGGCAAGCGUUAUCCGGAUUCACUGGGUGUAAAGGGAGCGUAGACGGCCAUGCAAGCCUGGAGUGAAAGCCCGGGGCCCAACCCCGGGACUGCUCUGGGAACUGUGCGGCUGGAGUGCGGGAGGGGCAGGCGGAAUUCCUGGUGUAGCGGUGAAAUGCGUAGAUAUCAGGAGGAACACCGGCGGCGAAGGCGGCCUGCUGGACCGCGACUGACGUUGAGGCUCGAAAGCGUGGGGAGCAAACAGGAUUAGAUACCCCUGUA
rnacentral:rRNA from 1 species